GCGCGUACGUGGGCGCUAGGUGUGGGUCCAUUCCCGGGAUCCGUGCCGCAGCUAACGCAUUACCCCGCCCCGCCUGGGGAGUACGGCCGCAAGGCUAAAACUCAAAGGAAUUGACGGGGGCCCGCACAAGCGGCGGAGCAUGCGGAUUAAUUCGAUGCAACGCGAAGAACCUUACCAAGGCUUGACAUGCACCGGACGACUGCAGAGAUGUGGUUUCCCUUUGUGGCUGGUGCACAGGUGGUGCAUGGUUGUCGUCAGCUCGUGUCGUGAGAUGUUGGGUUAAGUCCCGCAACGAGCGCAACCCUCGUUCUAUGUUGCCAGCGGUUCGGCCGGGGACUCAUAGGAGACUGCCGGGGUCAACUCGGAGGAAGGUGGGGAUGACGUCAAAUCAUCAUGCCCCUUACGUCUUGGGCUUCACGCAUGCUACAAUGGCCGGUACAAAGGGCUGCGAUCCCGUGAGGGGGAGCGAAUCCCAGAAAGCCGGUCUCAGUUCGGAUUGGGGUCUGCAACUCGACCCCAUGAAGUCGGAGUCGCUAGUAAUCGCAGAUCAGCAACGCUGCGGUGAAUACGUUCCCGGGCCUUGUACACACCGCCCGUCAAGUCACGAAAGUCGGUAACACCCGAAGCCGGUGGCCCAACCCCUUGUGGGAGGGAGCUGUCCAACGUGGGACUGGUGAUUGG
rnacentral:rRNA from 1 species